UCAAGGAGUAAAAUUAUUAUGUCAUGGCUAUUAUGAAAUGAUUAGAUUUAUUGUUCACAUAGCUUUGUAUGUCUGCAGGAUCUGCCUUGCUGGGAUACGAUGUCUAUUACGCUCUGAAUUUGGGGCAGUAGAUUUCAAAAUGCUCUACACUUUAUCAUUUUUCCAUUGGCAUAGAUCUCAAAGUUUAUGCACUUGAUACUGGCAUAGAUCUCAAAAUGAGUUUAUGCACAGAUCUCUACAUGCGUCAUCUUCUCCAUGCUCACACCGCUCCGACCCCAACUCAUCUCUUCCUUCAAUGAGACUGAGGCCUCCAAUGACAAUGAGAUCCAUGCCACC
rnacentral:lncRNA from 1 species